UACGGGGGGAGCAAGCGUUGUUCGGAUUUACUGGGCGUAAAGGGCGCGUAGGCGGUCGUGACAAGUCACUUGUGAAAUCUCCGGGCUUAACUCGGAACGGUCAAGUGAUACUGUCGGACUAGAGUACAGAAGGGGCAACUGGAAUUCUCGGUGUAGCGGUGAAAUGCGUAGAUAUCGAGAGGAACACCUGCGGCGAAGGCGGCUCACUGGACCACAACUGACGCUGAUGCGCGAAAGCUAGGGGAGCAAACAG
rnacentral:rRNA from 1 species